rnacentral:rRNA from 1 species
AUGAACGCUGGCGGCGUGCCUCAUACAUGCAAGUCGAGCGAACAGACGAGGAGCUUGCUCCUCUGACGUUAGCGGCGGACGGGUGAGUAACACGUGGAUAACCUACCUAUAAGACUGGGAUAACUUCGGGAAACCGGAGCUAAUACCGGAUAAUAUAUUGAACCGCAUGGUUCAAUAGUGAAAGACGGUUUUGCUGUCACUUAUAGAUGGAUCCGCGCCGCAUUAGCUAGUUGGUAAGGUAACGACUUACCAAGGCAACGAUGCGUAGCCGACCUGAGAGGGUGAUCGGCCACACUGGAACUGAGACACGGUCCAGACUCCUACGGGAGGCAGCAGUAGGGAAUCUUCCGCAAUGGGCGAAAGCUUGACGGAGCAACGCCGCGUGAGUGAUGAAGGUCUUCGGAUCGUAAAACUCUGUUAUUAGGGAAGAACAAAUGUGUAAGUAACUAUGCACGUCUUGACGGUACCUAAUCAGAAAGCCACGGCUAACUACGUG